rnacentral:rRNA from 1 species
AUACAGAGGGUGCAAGCGUUAAUCGGAAUUACUGGGCGUAAAGCGUACGUAGGCGGUUUGGUAAGUCAGAUGUGAAAGCCCUGAGCUCAACUUGGGAACUGCAUUUGAAACUGCCUGACUAGAGUGUGAUAGAGGAUAGUGGAAUUUCCGGUGUAGCGGUGAAAUGCGUAGAGAUCGGAAGGAACACCAGUGGCGAAGGCGGCUAUCUGGAUCAACACUGACGCUGAGGUACGAAAGCGUGGGGAGCAAACAGGAUUAGAAACCCCGGUAGUCC